rnacentral:rRNA from 1 species
GACGAACGCUGGCGGCGUGCUUAACACAUGCAAGUCGAACGGAAAGGCCCUGCUUUUGUGGGGUGCUCGAGUGGCGAACGGGUGAGUAACACGUGGGUAACCUGCCCUUGACUUUGGGAUAACUUCAGGAAACUGGGGCUAAUACCGGAUAGGAGCUCCUGCUGCAUGGUGGGGGUUGGAAAGUUUCGGCGGUUGGGGAUGGACUCGCGGCUUAUCAGCUUGUUGGUGGGGUAGUGGCUUACCAAGGCUUUGACGGGUAGCCGGCCUGUGAGGGUGGCCGGGCACAUUGGGACUGAGAUACGGCCCAGACGCCUACGGGGGGCAGCAGGGGGGAAUAUUGCACAAUGGGCGGGAGCCUGAGGCAGCAACGCCGCGUGCGGGAUGACGGCCUUCGGGUUGUAAACCGCUUUCGCCUGUGACGAAGCGUGAGUGACGGUAAUGGGUAAAGAAGCACCGGCUAACUACGUG